GAUGAACGCUGGCGGCGUGCCUAAUACAUGCAAGUCGAGCGAACAGACGAGGAGCUUGCUCCUCUGACGUUAGCGGCGGACGGGUGAGUAACACGUGGAUAACCUACCUAUAAGACUGGGAUAACUUCGGGAAACCGGAGCUAAUACCGGAUAAUAUAUUGAACCGCAUGGUUCAAUAGUGAAAGACGGUUUUGCUGUCACUUAUAGAUGGAUCCGCGCCGCAUUAGCUAGUUGGUAAGGUAACGGCUUACCAAGGCAACGAUGCGUAGCCGACCUGAGAGGGUGAUCGGCCACCCUGGAACUGAGACACGGUCCAGACUCCUACGGGAGGCAGCGGUAGGGAAUCUUCCGCAAUGGGCGAAAGCUUGACGGAGCAACGCCGCGUGAGUGAUGAAGGUCUUCGGAUCGUAAAACUCUGUUAUUAGGGAAGAACAAAUGUGUAAGUAACUAUGCACGUCUUGACGGUACCUAAUCAGAAAGCCACGGCUAACUACGUG
rnacentral:rRNA from 1 species